rnacentral:rRNA from 1 species
UACAGAGGUCUCAAGCGUUGUUCGGAUUCAUUGGGCGUAAAGGGUGCGUAGGCGGCGCGGUAAGUCGGGUGUGAAAUCUCGGGGCUUAACUCCGAAACUGCAUUCGAUACUGCCGUGCUUGAGGACUGGAGAGGAGACUGGAAUUCCCGGUGUAGUGGUGGAAUGCGUAGAUAUCGGGAGGAACACCAGUGGCGAAGGCGGUUGCCUGGGGCUUUGCUGACGCUGAUGCGCGAAAGCGUGGGGAGCGAUCCGG